GACGAACGCUGGCGGCGUGCUUAACACAUGCAAGUCGAACGGAAAGGCCCUGCUUUUGUGGGGUGCUCGAGUGGCGAACGGGUGAGUAACACGUGAGUAACCUGCCCUUGACUUUGGGAUAACUUCAGGAAACUGGGGCUAAUACCGGAUAGGAGCUCCUGCUGCAUGGUGGGGGUUGGAAAGUUUCGGCGGUUGGGGAUGGACUCGCGGCUUAUCAGCUUGUUGGUGGGGUAGUGGCUUACCAAGGCUUUGACGGGUAGCCGGCCUGAGAGGGUGACCGGCCACAUUGGGACGGAGAUACGGCCCAGACUCCUACGGGAGGCAGCAGUGGAGAAUAUUGCACUAUGGGCGGAAGCCAGAUGCAGCAACGCCGCGUGCGGGAUGACGGCCUUCGGGUUGUAAACCGCUUUCGCCUGUGACGAAGCGUGAGUGACGGUAAUGGGUAAAGAAGCACCGGCUAACUACGUG
rnacentral:rRNA from 1 species